rnacentral:lncRNA from 1 species
GACACACCCAGGAACAAUACUUUGCAUCCCUCAAUCCAAUCAAGUUGAUGUUUAAUAUUAACCAUCACACUUGGCAAAUCAUAAUGCUAAAUAGAAUCAUCAUAUGGAUAACUUCCUGGAAAUAGAGUAGCUGAUUUUAUCAAAUAUGAAAAAUAAUUUUUGUAUGUGAUGCUGGUGCUAUUGGCAUACACUACAGGCUUUUGGUUGCAAGCAAUAAAAACAGACUAACUGACUUAAGCAUGAAAGAAGUUAUUGAAAGGACUUGGGAUAGCUCACAGAAUCAAAGGAAAAGAUGAGGAUCUUGAAAGGACAGGGAUCAAAGCUGCUCCAGGGCCCCAGGCAGAAAUACAUCAUGGAAGAGACCCUCAGUUUCUUCAGGGCUCUCCUCUUGGCAGAAUGCAGCGCCUCCGACUAUUUUCAUUGUUAGCUCCCUCCUCUCAACAUUCAUAUCCUCAGAGGGGAAGAUUAAUGGGCUUAGUUUGAGUCACGUUUGCCAGGCUAAGGAACAGUAGGUCUUGUUUGACAGUCUUACCCAGACCAAAAUGAAACCAGAAAGGGAAAUGCAAACAGGCACCUUCAAUCCUACAGAUACCCCUACAAUGGCCUUCCUGAAGAGUUGUGCUCCGAGUUCUAUGCAGUUCUCACUGAGGUGACCACAAUCCCCAUCCUGCCUUUCUUUUGAUUAAAUAUAUGCUUUUGAGAGUUGCCUGUUUGGGAAUGGCCAAAGAAUAAUUUUGUUCUGUGAAUCCACUUGUGAAUACAGUCUAUUUGCAAAUAAAUCUGAAACUCUAUCCAAAUUAGCUCCUAUAAGAUUUAUCUGUUGCAGUACUUUACAUUUUUCUGUUAAAAUAUCCCCAGUGAGAAAGUAAAUAAUAGAGAAUGAAUGGAUAAGCAAAGAUGUCCACCAGAAGCCAAACCUUUUUUCAGAAUGUCAUGUUUUAACUUACCAUUUUAUUCACAUUUUGCAGUACUUACUUUAUAUUUUCCUCUCUCAAAAUCUUUAUAAAAUUGACCCUCUUGGUGGGGCGUGGUGGCUCAGGCCGGUAAUCCCAGCAUUUU